UGAGCGGUUCGCCGCCUGCGACGUCGCGAGAAGUCCACUGAACCUUAUCAUUUAGAGGAAGGAGAAGUCGUAACAAGGUUUCCGUAGGUGAACCUGCGGAAGGAUCAUUGUCGAACCUAUCGACCGAACGACCCGUGAACACGUUGUUUAACAACAUUGUCGAGGGCAGAGCGGGCGUGAGCCCUCCACUCUGCUCUCGAUGGAUCGGUGGGCCUCCCUCGCGAGCCUUGCCCUUUUGUCCUGUGCAUGGGGGCGUCUUGUGGGGGACCUUCCCGAUCCAACAACGAACCCCGGCGUGGAAAACGCCAAGGAAAAUACAACGAAACAACGCCAUCCCGUCGCCCCGGUCACGGGUGCGCGGGAAGGCGUGGUCGUUUAACUCAUAAAAACGACUCUCGGCAACGGAUAUCUAGGCUCUCGCAUCGAUGAAGAACGUAGCAAAAUGCGAUACUUGGUGUGAAUUGCAGAAUCCCGUGAAUCAUCGAGUCUUUGAACGCAAGUUGCGCCCGACGCCAUUAGGUCGAGGGCACGCCUGCCUGGGCGUCACGCACACGUCGCCCCUCCACCCCUUCCGAGUGAGGGGUCUGGAGUUGGGGCGGACAUUGGCCUCCCGUGGAACAUCGCGUCCGUGGUUGGUUAAAAAUAUGUCCCGCGGCGAUGCACGCCUCGACAAGCGGUGGUUUGAAACGAACCCCUGAUCCUUUCCCCCUCGUCCAGAGGAGGAAGGAGGAGAAUCUCCAUGUCGGGCGCGGCGCUUCGCAACGGGGCACCAUGAAAGGCCCGAUAACCUCGACAGCGACCCCAGGUCAGGCGGGAACACCCGCUGAGUUUAAGCAUAUCAAUAAGCGGAGGAAAAGAAA
rnacentral:sRNA from 1 species